rnacentral:rRNA from 1 species
CCUACGGGUGGCAGCAGUGAGGAAUAUUGGUCAAUGGACGAGAGUCUGAACCAGCCAAGUAGCGUGAAGGAUGACUGCCCUAUGGGUUGUAAACUUCUUUUAUAUGGGAAUAAAACGUUCCACGUGUGGGAUUUUGUAUGUACCAUAUGAAUAAGGAUCGGCUAACUCCGUGCCAGCAGCCGCGGUAAUACGGAGGAUCCGAGCGUUAUCCGGAUUUAUUGGGUUUAAAGGGAGCGUAGGUGGAUUGUUAAGUCAGUUGUGAAAGUUUGCGGCUCAACCGUAAAAUUGCAGUUGAAACUGGCAGUCUUGAGGACAGUAGAGGUGGGCGGAAUUCGUGGGGUAGCGGUGAAAUGCUUAGAUAUCACGAAGAACUCCGAUGGCGAAGGCAGUUCACUGGACUGCAACUGACACUGAGGCUCGAAAGUGUGGGUAUCAAACAGGAUUAGAUACCCGAGUAGUC